rnacentral:rRNA from 1 species
UACGAAGGGGGCUAGCGUUGCUCGGAAUCACUGGGCGUAAAGCGCACGUAGGCGGACUCUUAAGUCGGUGGUGAAAUCCUGGAGCUCAACUCCAGAACUGCCUUCGAUACUGAGAGUCUCGAGUCCGGGAGAGGUGAGUGGAACUGCGAGUGUAGAGGUGAAAUUCGUAGAUAUUCGCAAGAACACCAGUGGCGAAGGCGGCUCACUGGCCCGGUACUGACGCUGAGGUGCGAAAGCGU